ensembl:lncRNA
GUGAAGGGGUUCAUUCCUUGGCUUGUUAGUGCUCAUUUUGUUUGAUGCAUUGUGCCAUUGAAAAUAUAACCAUUUUGAAUAGGGAAUCAUGACAGAUUAUCCAUGUUUACAAUUGCUAUUGUUGAGUUGCAUUAAGUUACUCUUUAUUAUUGGUUGACCUUAAUCUCGUGAGACAGUGCUUUUUAUUUAUUUAUCAAUAUCUAUUUAAAGUGACUAUUCCUCACAUUUAACUGAGGAAUUUGAUUUGGUUUUGAAUCCGGAUUAUUCGAAUUAGCUCAUGACUAUUAAGUUAAACAAAUAUAUUUUGUUGUUGAUUAUUGUAAUCAUGUUUGGCACAUACUGUAGUCAAUGAAAAGGGCACAUAACGUCUUAAAUGAAGAUGCCUAAAACAGACUGGAUGUCUCUCUUUAUAAUUCCUGAACAAUAGUUACAUGACUGCAAGAUGGAUCUUGUUGACUGAAAAGGGAAGUUCUGCCACCAAACAGAUACCAAAUGUUUAUUACUCUACAGUAUUAGAGAGACAGUUUGUAAUGAGAGUUUUUAAAAUUAGAAUGCACUGUUAUUAUUUGACUACUAGAAACCAGUAGGUUCCCCUGGGAGGGUGGAAAUGGCCAACAGCUAGGCUACUUUCUAGACUUUUAACUGUCCGAGGCCAGAUAAUGAUUUGGUAUGAGGCACUGCAUUCUAUGCCAAAGCUGGACAUUAUUACUACAUAACAUUGCCCAGUUGGACUCUUUGCACUUUGUUACCCUUAGAGAGGUACAAUACUGUAGUACCAAGCUGACCUGUGCCGUAUAGUAUUUCAUUAGACAACUGCAACCAAGCAUGAAUGAACCCCUAACCCUCUCACCAUUUUCACAACCAGUAACCCUGAGCAAACUAUUUCUGGUUACUCAGUUUUAAAGUCAAAACUGUUGCCACUAGUUUCUGCACUGGCAUUUGAGUUUAUGCUCUGAGGAACAGUACAAUGUUUACUUUUUGGAUUACUUUUGUGUUUUAUAGAUUUUGUUCCACGAUUGACUGUAUGUGGAAGGUUGAGACCAAGCGGUUUGUUUUAUUAAUCUGCUUUGUUCUGAGGGAACUUUAACCUAGCCAUCCCAUGGACUAGUUAAGUUUGCAUGUUUCUAUGUAACAUUGCACUUUUGUAACCUAGUGCACACACUCACACAUACCCACACUAAUAACCACUUCACUCACAAGUUGCCAAAUGAUGUGUCGAGGGCCUCCGUUGUAGCACAUACUUUGCUCACAUUGAGUCAAGGGUGAGGGAGAAUGUCCCAGCCUCUCCCACACAGGCCUCAGACUGCAACCCGACCCUGACUAGUGUUAAACCGUUUCUCAGCCCCCUUGUGAAACCACCCCUGUCAUGGUGAGUACAUUACAGCCAUGGGCCCUUGUAUCGUCAUAAGCUGAAAUUGUAUUACAGUGCACUGAAUGAAACUGAUUAUUAAUGCAUGUUAGUAGCUCUCAAACGGAAAGUCAUUGUCUCAUACGAGGACUUCAACUUAGUAUUAGCCAAAUGCUUGUGCAUUGUAACAUAUGACACGUCAUGUGUCAGUCACUCCAGCUAAGAGCUUUACAUGCUGUCAGGGCAGUGGACCAUGAGUGUUAAGAGAGGAACAUACUACAUACAGUAUAUACUAAUACAGGAAUAUGAGGGACUAGAGCAGAGGCAAUACAACUAUAUCAAAUAAACUGCACUGUUUAUUUAUUUUCAAAAGGGCUUUGGAUCAAAGUGAAUACCAGUAAUGAAACUUAUUUAAAGUCCAUGUAAAUACAUGUAUGUAUGUAGAUUAUAUAUACAUACAGUGCAAACAGUAUAUAACGCUGAUACUUUUUUUAUACAUGUAUGUAAAGGAAAGAAAGCAGAAGUAGGAACCUGGAAUUCAAUCUGUAUGUCACCUCAGACAAUGCUCUGUGUCCGAGGGAAAAGGGACCUGAGGGGUGGUACUACUGUGUAUUUAAUAUCAACCACAUCCAACCUAUUUACUCAAAUAUGUGAACCCAGAUAAAACAGAUUCUUUUCAGUUCUGUUGUAGAGAUGGGUAACCGUGUGGGUUUUUGAGAGACCCGGAGUUUAAGAAUGCUUUUGCUCGACUAAAUGUACCUCAUAAACAUAAAAGAUGGGGAAGAUACAGGAGGGGGGGGGGCAUGUAUGAAUACCUCUGAUUACAACUGGAUAUCUAUGCAUUAUCAGAUACAAAUACAUUUACACUGUCUGAAGUGGAUGUGUGUUCAAGUGGUGUUUCUCAACUGUCAUAGAAAACAAAAAGGGUCAGUUCUCUACUCAAAGGGACUCCACCACCCUGGGUUUUCCACUUCUCAGGGUGCUAUAGCCGUAGCUGUUACGUUGAGGCCAGGGGGUUCCUCUCUGAAACAUGGCUUUUAGAGCCACACACCACAGAGGCCACUGUGAGGGACUCUGGAACUGGGUAAGGGUCCGAGGGAAGGUAAGAGUCAGCAGUAGUAGUAGAAGUAGGGAUUAUUUAGGGUCUCUUGGGGUGGGCUCUGAUUAAACGAGGUGAAAUGUAUUUAAAGAGCGGUUGAGAAAUAGUAAGACUGUGGAAAUGGGAAGAUGGGAGGGGAGGGAAGAGUGGUGGGAGAAAGAACUGAAAACCAUUUUUCAGAGAUGGAACCAGGCCCACCAACAGUACCAUUUUUCAGAGAUGGAACCAGGCCCACCAACAGUACCAUUUUUCAGAGAUGGAACCAGGCCAGCCAACGGUCAUUGUUUUAGUCUGUAUAUUCUGCUAUUCUAUGAUUAUAAUGAUGACAUGAUGUAUGAAAACACUUCCGAACGUUUUUUUUUUUGUACACAGGUGCCAGCUAGCCUGUUUCUGACUAUUUAUAAAGGAUUAACUGUCCACUAUUGUUAUAUGACGAUGAUGACGAUGAUACUUAUUAUUAUUGAUACAAUUACUCUGUGGAGGGUUGGUACUAAUUAUGAUACUGUCUGUACUGAUAAUGAAAUGCCCUUUUCCUCUUGAUGAAGGGAGCUUUCUUGAGGGUCUGUCUGUUUCUCUGUUUGUCCUUGUCUUCAGUCUCUCUUGGUUUUUGUAAAUGAAUUGAAAGGCUGUUUAUUUGGCCCCAUCUGGUGGACAUAACUCUGUAACGUUGCAGUCUAUUGCAGGCAUCAUAUUGUAUCGUAUAAAGGCUCACCGCCAACCGUUCUGUGUCUGGCAGAGGAAGCCCAGUUCAGAUAUUUUCACUAAUUGAUCUUUUGACCAAUCAACUCUGAAAAAGAUCUGAUGUGAAAAGACCUGAUGUGAUUAGUCAAAGGACCAUUGGUGGAAAAUAAAUACCAGAGUUAGACAGGUUGUUUUUACACAGGCAAUGUGACUGACUGACAUACGUACUACUCAACAGUGUUAACAUGCUAGGAGUGACCAAACCCUGCAUGUUCAGGGUUGCACAAACCAGUUAUGAAUGUAUAUUUAUGGACCCUGUAUGUUUGAAUAUAUGAGCUGUUUUAAGAUCUCAUACUUCAUGUGUGAAAUCUGUGUAUUAAUGUGUUUUGUCUGUCCUGCUCCAUGUCUGGGUGCAAGUUGCAUCCUACUGUGCCUCAUCGACCUGCCUUGUGUUCUCACCAACGCUUCUGUUCAUUUAUGGCCAUCUUGUAUCUCCCUGUGUCUAGUUUCUCUACGUGUCCAUCUGUAGUGUAUUGCAUUAUACAGACAGGCCCUCCCACUCCUCAGUCUCCAGCAACGAUUGUGCAAUAAACUGAAGUCUAUAUUUUUAAACCUG